rnacentral:rRNA from 1 species
GAUGAACGCUGGCGGCGUGCCUAAUACAUGCAAGUCGAGCGAACAGACGAGGAGCUUGCUUCUCUGACGUUAGCGGCGGACGGGUGAGUAACACGUGGAUAACCUACCUAUAAGACUGGGAUAACUUCGGGAAACCGGAGCUAAUACCGGAUAAUAUAUUGAACCGCAUGGUUCAAUAGUGAAAGACGGUUUUGCUGUCACUUAUAGAUGGAUCCGCGCCGCAUUAGCUAGUUGGUAAGGUAACGGCUUACCAAGGCAACGAUGCGUAGCCGACCUGAGAGGGUGAUCAGCCACACUGGAACUGAGACACGGUCCAGACUCCUACGGGAGGCAGCAGUAGGGAAUCUUCCGCAAUGGGCGAAAGCCUGACGGAGCAACGCCGCGUGAGUGAUGAAGGUCUUCGGAUCGUAAAACUCUGUUAUUAGGGAAGAACAAAUGUGUAAGUAACUAUGCACGUCUUGACGGUACCUAAACAGAAAGCCACGGCUAACUACGUG